rnacentral:rRNA from 1 species
UGAAGUCUUUGGAUGACUUGUGGUAAGGGGUGAAAGGCCAACCAAAUUCGUAGAUAGCUGGUUUUCCGCGAAAACUAUUUAGGUAGUGCGUUGAAUAAAUAUGUAUUUAGAGGUAGAGCACUAAAUGGGCUAGGGGGAAGAGAUUCUUACCAAACCUAAUAAAACUCCGAAUGCUAAAUACAGUUCUUCAACAGACAGACUGUGGGUGCUAAGGUCCAUGGUCGAGAGGGAAAGAGCCCAGACCACCAGAUAAGGUCCCAAAAUUGUGAUUAAGUGUGAAAGGAUGUGGAAAUUCCAUAACAGCCGGGAGGUUGGCUUAGAAGCAGCCAUCCUUUAAAGAUAGCGUAACAGCUCACCGGUCUAACAGAGUUUCUGCGCCGAAGAUGUAACGGGGCUAAAAUCACAUACCGAAUCUGUGGGUUUAUAAAGUUUUCGAACUUUAUAAGCGGUAGCGGAACGUUCUGUAAGCCUGUAAAGGGAUACCCGUGAGGGAUCCUGGAGGUAUCAGAAGUGCGAAUGCUGACAUGAGUAACGAUAAAAGAAGUGAAAACUCUUCGCCGAAAAUCCAAGAGUUUCUGCGCAAGGUUAAUCCGCGCAGAGUUAGUCGGCCCUAAGGCGAGGGCGAAAGCCGUAGUCGAUGGAAAUAAGGUUAAUAUUCUUAACCAGAUGGUAGUGACGGAUUUUGUAAGUUGUACAUUCUUAAUGGAUUGAAUGUGCCGCGAAAAAGUCCCAGGAAAUAGCUCCAUCAUUAGACCGUACCCUAAACCGACACAGGUGGAUUAAUAGAGUAUAUUUAGGCGCUUGAGAGAAUGAUGUUGAAGGAACUCGGCAAAAUACUUCUGUAACUUCGGGAUAAAGAAGACCUUUUUUUAGGCAACUAAAAGAGGGUGGCACAAGCCAGGGAGAAGCGACUGUUUAUCAAAAACACAGGGCUCUGCUAACACGUAAGUGGAUGUAUAGGGUCUGACGCCUGCCCGGUGCUGGAAGGUUAAUGCGAUGGGUGCAAGCUCAUUUCUGAAGCCCCAGUAAACGGCGGCCGUAACUAUAACGGUCCUAAGGUAGCGAAAUUCCUUGUCGGGUAAGUUCCGACCUGCAUGAAUGGCGUAACGAUUUCUCCGCUGUCUCCAACAUCAACUCAGUGAAAUUGAAUUCUCCGUGAAGAUGCGGAGUUCGCGUAGUUAGACGGAAAGACCCCGUGCACCUUUACUGCAACUUUACAUUGGUAUUAGGAAAAACAUAUUUAGCAUAGGAGGGAGACAUUGAAGCGAUGGCGUCAGUUAUCGUGGAGUCACCAGUGAAAUACCUCUUUUGUUUUUCUUGAUAUCUAACUGAUUGCCGUUAUCCGGCAUCAAGACAUUGUAUGGUGGGUAGUUUGACUGGGGCGGUCGCCUCCCAAAUAGUAACGGAGGCGUGCGAAGGUAAGCUCAGAACGGUCAGAA